CAUGUGGUUGCUGGGAUUUGAACUCUGGACCUUCGGAAGAGCAGUUGGGUGCUCUUACCCACUGAGCCAUCUCACCAGCCCCCUUAAAACCUAUUUUUAAUAAGGGUUUUUAAAUGCCUUGACACCACCCUUCUCGACCAACAUCCAAAAGUAGGAGAGAAAAGAAGGUAAUAGGACAAAGGGGUGUGGGCCUGUUUAGAAGUAGUUUCUCGAAGCACUUCCAAUCUUUGUCAGGAAACCAAACACGAAUCAGCAGCAGCGGCAGUCUUCUGCUGCAGAAAUGGCACAAGUCCAAGGCAGCGACCAGGACCGGCCGAGGCGACAGAAAAAAGGUCUCUGCCAUGCCUCUCUCAACAAAGUAAAGAUCAUCGAAGAUGAAGACACGAGGCCAAUGAAGCGUCGUGACGCAGGCUACGCAAGCACACUGCCGCUGUCAAUACUCUCCAGACAUCACGUGUCCUCCCACGUGUCUCGCCUCAGCAAAACACCAUGUGAGUCUGUAUCCCCUGACCUAUCCAGAAACGUCCACUUCAGCUUGACCUCAAACUAACUCUGGCAAGCUGUUCUAAUCUCUCUCCUGGCUCCUUCCCAUUCUCUGGCUUCUCUCUUCAACCUGUCUCUAUAAAACUCUCCUGGUGGAACUGCCUCCUUCUCUCCAUCUUUCUUCUCCUGAGAGUUGGGUAUAUCCUAUUCUAUCAAUUCUUUCUCUGAUUUGUCACUUUGUCUAUUGUAAUAGAAACACCCGACUAGCUUACAAAUAAGUGAGACUCACACUGGGGUUAUUUUAUUUGGCUUUGACAAUUACUGGGGGCCACCCCUAAUCUACUCUUCUAACUGCAGGCCUGGCUACCCCCCUAGCAGUGUACCCCAGAUACUUGCAGUUUCUCCUGGCCAUGUGCUCCUGGCUCCUCUCCCCUCAUGGCAGCUUCCUCCUCCCUCUUCCUUUAUCCUCCCUCCUCUUCCAGCCAAGCCAUUCCUAACCUGCAUACCUCUAAUCCCUCCAGUAAUUGGC
rnacentral:lncRNA from 1 species